AACACAUGCAAGUCGAGGGGCAGCAUGGUCUUAGCUUGCUAAGACUGAUGGCGACCGGCGCACGGGUGAGUAACACGUAUCCAACCUGCCGUCUACUCUUGGACAGCCUUCUGAAAGGAAGAUUAAUACAAGAUGGCAUCAUGAGUCCGCAUGUUCACAUGAUUAAAGGUAUUCCGGUAGACGAUGGGGAUGCGUUCCAUUAGAUAGUAGGCGGGGUAACGGCCCACCUAGUCUUCGAUGGAUAGGGGUUCUGAGAGGAAGGUCCCCCACAUUGGAACUGAGACACGGUCCAAACUCCUACGGGAGGCAGCAGUGAGGAAUAUUGGUCAAUGGGCGAGAGCCUGAACCAGCCAAGUAGCGUGAAGGAUGACUGCCCUAUGGGUUGUAAACUUCUUUUAUAAAGGAAUAAAGUCGGGUAUGUAUACCCGUUUGCAUGUACUUUAUGAAUAAGGAUCGGCUAACUCCGUGCCAGCAGCCGCGGUAAUACGGAGGAUCCGAGCGUUAUCCGGAUUUAUUGGGUUUAAAGGGAGCGUAGAUGGAUGUUUAAGUCAGUUGUGAAAGUUUGCGGCUCAACCGUAAAAUUGCAGUUGAUACUGGAUAUCUUGAGUGCAGUUGAGGCAGGCGGAAUUCGUGGUGUAGCGGUGAAAUGCUUAGAUAUCACGAAGAACUCCGAUUGCGAAGGCAGCCUGCUAAGCUGCAACUGACAUUGAGGCUCGAAAGUGUGGGUAUCAAACAGG
rnacentral:rRNA from 1 species